AACCCGUUAUCUGCCGGGACAAUGCUCUGUAAUUCAGGGGAGGGCCCAAGACUUGACGAUGGGGGUGCUGGCAGGAGCCAUGGACGCCAGCAUCGGGGGCCAUUGAGUGCAUUCACGCCAGAGCCCGACUGCACACUUAAUUUCCCCCGAAAAGAUCCGGUGGCUUUCCCUGUCCCUGGAGCAGAGAAGGACGGGCUGAUUGGUCUGAGGGGCUCACUCUAGCUGCUGAGUUGAGAUGGACUGGCGGAGGGGGUGUGGCGCUCAGGACGAUGGGACAGUUUUCCUGGGGGAAGUGUGAACGAGGAAGCCCAGGCUGCUUUUGGCAGCCGUCUUGUCACCAUGAGGAGAUCUGCUGAAGGAAGACGUCAAGGGGAGAAGACCAUUAACACACAGAGCUGGAUCCUUGAUCAGAUCUCUCCUGAAGCAUGACCUCCGCGCUUCCCAGUAAGAUCUCUCACUGUAUAAGCCAGGUAGUGUUGAGUUUCUUUCCCUGGAGCUGAAAGCGUCCAGCCAAGGACCAUCAACAGGCAGGUAAGCCCCUUGUUUCUAUGUUUGCCAUCCAACUCCACCUUCUGGUAGGUCAGCUCCAUGAGGGCAGGGGUGGUGUUACCCAUGUCGAGGUUUCUGGAGAGACACGUUGUUCCUAUGAGGUGCAUGAUAAAUGUCUGUUGUUGAAUGAAUGUGUCUUAGCGUGUUGUCAAAGCAGGACCCAGAAAUAAUCCCCCGUGUAUACCCCAGUUGGGUUUCAGGGCCUGGUGGCUUUAUUUUGGAUUCUCUGGAUGCAGGGCUCCCUAAUAUCGUAGCUGGACACGGAGGUUUGAAGGGCUGAGCUCAGCACUGUCCCAGGUAAAUGAGGGCUGGUGGCGUGGGGCCCAGAGGGACCCUGAGGGGUGGCCCCGUGAUGAGCCUUGGGCAGCCUGGCUGCACCCAGGGCUCCUAUGGCCCGGGUGGAGGGGCUCUGAGCUGCAGGUGCAGUCACUCUGUACUGAGCGCCUGCUGCAUGCCAGGCACUGUCUACGCACAAAUCACCGCAUGCAGUGCUCUCCAGACCCGGUAAUGAAUCAGGGCAGCAUUUCGGCUGCACUCUGGCUCCGUGCUUGAGCACUUCCCAGGCGUGUGUGAGGCCACAGGGGCUCAGAGAGGUGAAGCCACCUGCCACAGGUUGCACAGCCAGCCGGUGGUGGAGCCAUCCUCAGAUGCGGGCUGCCUCCCCCCUGGGCCUUGGGCCUGGGCUCUUUCCUGCCCCUCUGACACCCCCCCAGGCAGGCGCGUAGUAGGAGCUCAGGAAGCUGGAGGACCCAUAUGCUGCUCACCAGAGGGAAGCUUGGGCUACAGAGGCUGCCAGCCCCCCCAUCUCCUGAGGGUCACAGCAGGACAAGGAUAAGAUUAUCUGACGUACUUUGCUCUCUCCUGUCGAGAAAAACAGCCGCAGAUGAAAAUAGCUUCUCCAGCAGUCACAGACAGGGAGGGGCUGUCAGGCCCCCCUCUACUGGGCCCACAGCCCUCGUCCCCAGGGAGGAAGGACACUGCCGGGGUCACUCGGAGCAGAGACCACCUGGAUGUUGGGGGGAAGGUAGCCAGACCCGCGGCCCCACACUCUGACCCCGCCGUGGACGGUGGCCCGUCUCUGUCCGUUUGCGCACCACGGGAAACUGUCUUUGCCGCCGCCGCUGCCCGCCUGGGAAUGGACACCGUUUCCAACCAGAGGGCCAGGAAAACAAGGCCGGUUCCCACCUGGGAUUUUAGGGUGUUUCCAGUGUUUGUGGUCAGUCGUGCCCCCCGGAGCCCGCAUGCGGCCGCUCUGUCGUCAGGCCGUUUCCUUAGGCCAGGUGCCCAGACAAGGGCCUGCAGGGUCGGGUCACAGCCACGUCCACGGCUCUGGGUGCCAAGUGGCUGUCAGCAGCACGGAAGCCCCCCUCCUGCUCAGCGCUGCCCCACCCCCACCGGACACGUCCCUGGCAGCGCAGCCAAGUGCCCUCCGAGCGUGGGCUCGUCCGCCUUGUCAUCCCUCCUGUCUGCGUCAGUCCAUGGUUUUCCGAGGAGAGAACCGGGGGCAGAGACCCAGCAGAUAAAUGUCUUUUAAAUUUUGGCUAAUAUACUUGUUCUACGCAGAUAGAAAGUACACAGGGGAGCCAGGAACACAAUCGGAACCCACAAUGGAAGGAUUCCGUUGGUUCAGCCUUACAGAGAAGUCAUAAGAAUGGUACAAUGAGGGCGCCUGGGUGGCUCAGUUGGUUAAGCGGCUGCCUUCGGCUCAG